UCUCCCUCUUUCUUAUAGCUAAUUAUAUUAUUCUCCACCUAGCUAGUAACUAGUAGCCGUACUACAAAUCAUUGUAUCUUUUCCCCCUAUUUUUUUAUGUGGGGGCUAGCUGCACUCGUCAAUUUGCUACUACUAGUUACCUGCAACAACUAUUUGGGAAAAAACAAAGUUGAUUCUUGAGCAAUGCAAUGUGUAAGCGUCUGUUUGGGAGGACUUCUUGAGUAGCUCCAAAACCGGCUUCUCAAUGAGCCCUACCAAACGGUGCUUCAGCUCAGUUUCGGCUCCGGCUCCAGCGACGAAGCCCCAGAAAACCCGGUGACAAGAGCAGGAGGGAGGGCAUGGAGCCAAAAAUUGCAGCUCCGCGUGGCUCCGGCGGCGGCUCCAUCUCGCGUGCCAUCUUUGCCCUCCGCUUGCGCGAUGCACGCCUCCUCGCGGACUCCUCUUGGCACGCGCUGCCGGGCGGCGCCGGAAGCCCGUGCCGCAGCGGGGCACGGCGGGGUCCGAGCAGCGCCGGGAGACCGUCCCGCGGCAGGGCACAGCGGGGGGUCGAGCGGCAGCAGCAGCCUGUGCCUGUGCGUCGGAGCAAGAUAAAAGAAGGGAGGAAGAAGCAGGUGGUGGCGGGAGGCUCUGCUCGUGGCCGUGCGUUGGAGCCAGAUGAAGGGAUGGAGGAGGAAGAAGUAUGGAUAAGGAGAGAGGAUUUGGAAGGGAAGAGAAAAAUAGAAUGAAAAAAAUAAAGGAGAGAAAGAUAAGGGGCAUCCAGGCUCUAUCAUCACAUCAAGCCCAUGGCAAUAGAGGCCACUUUGAACAUGGCUGCCAAGUGCCCUGAGCUCAAAGCCAAGGCACAGUUACCGCGCUGCACUUAUAAUCCUGCCUACAUCUUAUCACUUGGUCCUAGGCUGCGCGGAUGCAAUGGUUCUCGAAACAAUAAAGCUGGCCGUCUCCCAGCACAUGACCUUGCCCGUUCCUUCAUGCAGAAGAGGUAUAUAGUCCACGCAGGGAUUCUUCUCUGAUGUUCUUGCUCUUAGUACUCGUGCACUGAGGCUCCUUGCUUUGUUCAGGCCUCUGGUCAGUCACGAGAUAAAGCAUUCAGGUGUGCGUAUGUGAUGCUAAAUUCAGCAGUAGUAGCAUACUAGCAUAUAUCCUUUAAACAUAUACAGCAUGCAACUAUUAUAUGUUUUAUAUGUUUCGCAAGAAGCUUGCUACAGACUGAUUGAAUGGUAUUUAUGACAAUAAACUCACUAAGUAUUACCUAUUCA